UACAGAGGGGGCAAGCGUUAUUCGGAAUUAUUGGGGCGUAAAGGGCGCGUAGGCGGCCUGGCAAGUGGAAGGUGAAAUCCCUCCGGCUUAACCCGAGGAACUGCCCUCCAAACUGCUUGGCUUGAGUCCGGGAGAGGUGAGUGGAAUUCCCAGUGUAGCGGUGAAAUGCGUAGAUAUUGGGAGGAACACCAGUGGCGAAGGCGGCUCACUGGACCGGAACUGACGCUGAGGCGCGAAAGCGUGGGGAGCAAACGGGG
rnacentral:rRNA from 1 species